UACGUAGGUGGCAAGCGUUGUCCGGAUUUAUUGGGUUUAAAGGGUGCGUAGGCGGCUCUAUAAGUCAGUGCUGAAAUAUCCCGGCUUAACCGGGAGGGUGGCAUUGAUACUGUUGAGCUUGAGUAAAGUUGAGGUUGGCGGAAUUGACGGUGUAGCGGUGAAAUGCUUAGAUAUCGUCAAGAACACCUAUUGCGAAGGCAGCUAACUAAGCUUUAACUGACGCUGAGGCACGAAAGUGUGGGGAUCAAACAGG
rnacentral:rRNA from 1 species